rnacentral:lncRNA from 1 species
GGAUCUCUGCCUUCAUGUUCACAUGGUGUUCUACCUGUGUGCAUAUCUGUGGCAAAAUUUCCCCUUUUUAUAAGGAUACCAGGCAUAUUGGAUUAGGGUUCCUCUCUACUCCAGUAGGACCUCAUCUUCACUAAUUACAUCUGCAAUAACCCUUUCCAAAUAAGGUCACAUUCUGAGGAACUAGAGCAAUCUGAAGAGGAUGUAAGUCAGUUUGAUUCCAAGUUUACACGUCAGACACCUGUCGACAGCCCAGAUG